rnacentral:lncRNA from 1 species
UAGCUAGGAAUCAAAAGAUACUGCUUUUGAAUUAUUGUACAGUAGCUUACAUCUCAUCCAAAAGGGUCCAAUCUUACAACACCAACAGAUUCAUUAUCAAACCAUAAUAGUAAUCACACACCUGUUCAUGAAGAACAUGCAUUCCAUAGGGAAACUAUUUCCUUAUCAAAGUUAAAAAUGAUACAACAAUAUUAGCUGAGCAGUACUCUAUGCAGUGGUGACGGUCUCUGGCUCAGCGGGUUUUGUUUCUGGUACAGGUGCAGCUGCAGCAGCAACGGUCUCUGGCUCAGCGGGCUUUGUCUCCGGUGCAGCUGCUGCAGCCGCAGUCUCCGACUCAGCAGGCUUUGUUUCUGGUGCUGCUGCAGGUUCUUCUGCUUCCCAGAAUGCAGUCUUCUUCCCGGUCUUCGACACGGUCUGGAAGACAGCAUCUGGCUCCACGUUUCCCUUCACUGUAACUUUCUGCUCCUUCAUGUCAAU